UACGGAGGGUGCAAGCGUUAUCCGGAUUCACUGGGUUUAAAGGGUGCGUAGGCGGUUUGAUAAGUCAGUGGUGAAAGCUCGCAGCUUAACUGUGAAACUGCCAUUGAAACUGUCAGACUUGAGUACAAUUGAAGUGAGCGGAAUACAUCAUGUAGCGGUGAAAUGCUUAGAUAUGAUGUAGAACACCGAUUGCGAAGGCAGCUCACUAAAUUGCAACUGACGCUGAGGCACGAAAGCGUGGGUAGCGAACAGG
rnacentral:rRNA from 1 species